AUUGUUUAAGGGUUCAUUGACAUCAUACUCGAAAUCCAAAAGUAAUCGAUUAACAGUUUCAGAAUAAAGAUCCCAAUUAACGAGACAUGCUGCAACGCUCAGAAUUCUUACAGAAUUUAGCUAAAUGUCCAUACCUCAAGCACCGGUAGCAUUGUUUAACUGGUGGUAUAUAUGGAGUGACAUUGUGGCGCCAACCUCCAAUAUCCAGAUAUUCAGGUAAUACAGAUGCAGCAAAAGUAAUUGUCACGGUUAGAGUUGGCUGUAACACAUAUCCAUGAGUCAAGAUUCUGAGUCAGUAGAAGUAUCUUCCGAAUAUAUAUCCUUGUCAUUACAAGGUUCAUGGUCUACAUCACCUGAAUCGUCAUCUUUUUUUUCCUUUUUCUACAACUGCGCUUCCCCAUGAAUGCUAAUUAUAUUACUGUCGCUGAAUUUAGUGAAAAUAUAAUAUUUUAUUCAAUAAUAAGAAUUGAUAGAGAUAGUUUUAAUAAAUUAAUAAAAAAAAUUUAAAAAA